rnacentral:rRNA from 1 species
GAUGAACGCUGACAGAAUGCUUAACGCAUGCAAGUCAACUUGAACUUCGGUUUGGGUGGCGGACGGGUGAGUAACGCGUAAAGAACUUGCCUCACAGAUAGGGACAACAUUUGGAAACGAAUGCUAAUACCUGAUAUUAUGAUUUUAGGGCAUCCUAGGAUUAUGAAAGCUAUAUGCGCUGUGAAAGAGCUUUGCGUCCCAUUAGCUAGUUGGAGAGGUAACGGCUCACCAAGGCGAUGAUGGGUAGCCGGCCUGAGAGGGUGAUCGGCCACAAGGGGACUGAGACACGGCCCUUACUCCUACGGGAGGCAGCAGUGGGGAAUAUUGGACAAUGGACCAAGAGUCUGAUCCAGCAAUUCUGUGUGCACGAUGAAGUUUUUCGGAAUGUAAAGUGCUUUCAGUUGGGAAGAAAAAAAUGACGGUACCAACAGAAGAAGUGACGGUAA